rnacentral:rRNA from 1 species
CAGCCGCCGCGGUAAUACGGAGGGUGCAAGCGUUAAUCGGAAUUACUGGGCGUAAAGCGCACGCAGGCGGUCUGUUAAGUCAGAUGUGAAAUCCCCGAGCUUAACUUGGGAACUGCAUUUGAAACUGGCAAGCUAGAGUCUUGUAGAGGGGGGUAGAAUUCCAGGUGUAGCGGUGAAAUGCGUAGAGAUCUGGAGGAAUACCGGUGGCGAAGGCGGCCCCCUGGACAAAGACUGACGCUGAAGCACGAAAGCGUGGGGAGCAAACAGGAUUAGAUACCCGUGUAGUCCCUGUCUCUUAUAC